CAAGUUGAAAAUGGCCAGAACUCUUGAGCAAAAUGGAGUCACAUAGCAAAAGAAUUUGUAAAGGUAAAAGAAAAGGGGGAGGGGAGGGCUUGAUAUGAGGAAAGCUAGUGCCUGGAAAACAUAGGGUUAAAGUACUUUUAGCUUAACUUAGGUCAAAGAUAAAGAACAAUUUUUGUGUUUUCUGUGGUGAGAUAACAGGAUUUAGUGGUCCCAGUAAACAUGAGUGAAUUAUUUCACACCAUCCUUCUACUUAUCAGUUUGGAGACACUGCCUCCUGAACAUCUGCUAGUUUUGGAUGCUCCUUGUCUGCCUGUCCUGUUUUGCUUGCAAUAAAUUUUGUACGAAGGUCACACUGUUCUAAAUCUUUGCCAGCUAUCAGAAAAAUUACAGAUAUGGCUGGUUUCAGCUAGUUUUGUGAUUACUGCGGCAUCCAACUGUACCAAAGGUGAAAAGUACACCAUGAGGAAGACUGCUUACUUCAUCUUGAAGACCCCUGCCCGCAUGAGGAAGACUGCUUACUUCAUCCUCAAUACCCCUGCCCACGAUCACCAGAGAGCAGUGCACAGACGCCAAGAGGAGGAGACUUAUGAUAAUAAGUUCCUGGAGCUUGUUAUAAUAUUCCCCGCCUAUACCCAGGAAUUAUGAAUAUGUAUAUGGCUAAUGCAAUAGUGAAAGUAUAUAAACCUGUAACAAAUGCUAAUCAGUACGCCUCUGGUUACGGUCAUGCGCCCAGCGCUGUUGCUUUUGCUUUAUUAACUAUGUCCCUCAAUAAAACCCUGUUAUCUC